CACUCCUGCGGGAGGCAGCAGUGGGGAAUAUUGGACAAUGGGCGCAAGCCUGAUCCAGCCAUGCCGCGUGAGUGAUGAAGGCCCUAGGGUUGUAAAGCUCUUUCACCGGUGAAGAUAAUGACGGUAACCGGAGAAGAAGCCCCGGCUAACUUCGUGCCAGCAGCCGCGGUAAUACGAAGGGGGCUAGCGUUGUUCGGAUUUACUGGGCGUAAAGCGCACGUAGGCGGACUAUUAAGUCAGGGGUGAAAUCCCGGGGCUCAACCCCGGAACUGCUUUUGAUACUGGUAGUCUUGAGUUCGAGAGAGGUGAGUGGAAUUCCGAGUGUAGAGGUGAAAUUCGUAGAUAUUCGGAGGAACACCAGUGGCGAAGGCGGCUCACUGGCUCGAUACUGACGCUGAGGUGCGAAAGCGUGGGGAGCAAACAGGAUUAGAAACCCUAGUAGUCCC
rnacentral:rRNA from 1 species